AUUGAACGCUGGCGGCAGGCCUAACACAUGCAAGUCGAGCGGAUGAAGGGAGCUUGCUCCUGGAUUCAGCGGCGGACGGGUGAGUAAUGCCUAGGAAUCUGCCUGGUAGUGGGGGAUAACGUCCGGAAACGGGCGCUAAUACCGCAUACGUCCUGAGGGAGAAAGUGGGGGAUCUUCGGACCUCACGCUAUCAGAUGAGCCUAGGUCGGAUUAGCUAGUUGGUGGGGUAAAGGCCUACCAAGGCGACGAUCCGUAACUGGUCUGAGAGGAUGAUCAGUCACACUGGAACUGAGACACGGUCCAGACUCCUACGGGAGGCAGCAGUGGGGAAUAUUGGACAAUGGGCGAAAGCCUGAUCCAGCCAUGCCGCGUGUGUGAAGAAGGUCUUCGGAUUGUAAAGCACUUUUAUUUGGGAGGAAGGGCAGUAAGUUAAUACCGUGCUGUUUUGACGUUACCAACAGAAUAAGCACCGGCUAACUUCGUG
rnacentral:rRNA from 1 species